GGCCAGGGGUGGCCACGGCCACCCCUGGCAAUUUGCUGGCCACCCCACUGGCCACCCCACUCGCCAGUGUAAAUGGUAGUAGCGUCAGUUUAGCGGUUUAUCCCAUUAUGCAGAGCCAGCAACACUGCCGCUCUUCUAGACCUUCUCGCGCACCGUAGCUCACCAGCCGCUCCCCUCCCCCUCCCGCCCCCACUCCGUCCCAUCGAGCAGCAGUUGCGUUCUCAGACAGCUACAGUUUAGCGCGUGCCCGCCUUCAACAGUGAUUAAAAGAACUCAUAGAGAAAGCGAACAAGACUAACGAUAUCUCCCAGUCAAGAGCAGAACAGCCCAAGCAGCCACAACUAAACAUCUUCCCUAGAACCUGUCAUGGGGACAGGAAAAUAUGUUUUUCUAAAGAGUGGUACAGCAGAUAUAAAUGGCUCGAAUAUUCUUAGAGUAAAGACUCUGUAUAUUUAUAUAAUAUAUAUAUAAUAUAUAUUUUUAUAUAUUAAGAAUAAGUUAACAUAUAAGUGUUUCUUGUAAUCUUUUUUUUUGUAUCCUUGUAAUCAUUAUAUGACCGUUGUUCCCUGUUGGGAAAUUCCUGUUACAUAAAUAAAGAUAUAAUUUCUUA